GGCCUCUCUAAUACUGAAAGGUUAAAGUUGCUCCCUUUCCUUUGGGGGUAGGGGUUGGUCUUCUGUCUUUUCCAAGUAUUCAGUAUUUUGCCUAUGUCAGAGAAAAAAGUUGGCAAUCCAUUAGACAACCACCUGCACUCCUGUUAUACCCUCAGUUCUUGGUUUUGUUCAUUACUGAAGAUUUUUCUUUACCUAUGGAUGCAGAGAUAAUUCCCCAGAUGAUAAGACAUUCCCUUGAGCAAUAUAUCCAAGUUAUUCUCAGGAGUCUUCCUCAAGGGCAGCCAGAGUAACUGAAGACAGGAAGGAAGACACUCUAACCAUCUGGAAAGGCAGAAAUAUGCACUUCAUUUUGAUACCUGGAUGUAAAAUCUGAAAUUGCUGGUGCAGGAUGGAUGGAUCGAAAUGGUCAUACUACUAGCUUCAACAUCCAUGCAAGUGGUCAGCUCUCCUGGUCUUAAAGUUUAUUAAGCAAAUACCACUCUACUCUGCAGUGCUCAGCAUGUCUGCCCCACUUAAACCCUUCAGCCAGAGAUACAGACUAUACUUUAGCUUAUCCUUCAGAAGUUCAAGGUCACACUGACCAAAUGACCCAAGCCCCUGUUCAAUUACUUCCUAGAGUAUGUCAAAACUGUCAAAGACUUGAUAAACCAUGCAUACCCCUGCACUCAGGAGGCUGAGCCAGAGGGUCUACAAAGUUUGAGUCCAACAUGGAGUACAUAGUAAGAUCCUGUAAAUAAUGGAAUCUAUCUCUAGGGGGAGACACGUCCUUGUCUACUCCCUCAAGGGUUAAUCCAAUGGGCAGGUCAGGGAUCUUCUAUGAGCCUCUCCCAGGAAGGCAGGCUCACUUAAUGAGCACAGUCCUUAGGAGCUAGGACAGCUCUAUGAGCUGAGAUAGCAUAAGGUCCAGUUGAGUCUGCCUGCCCUUCUGAGGCUGUCUUUUGUCAGUGUAUGUCUGAAAUGCCUUCAGUUCUGUAAGAUGGUCACGUCAGAGGUAGGCUCUUCAGGUCUCCUUUGUUAACCAUCAAGAAUAGAAUUUUCAACAAUUAAGCGUGUAGAGCCUGAAGUUUCUAUCUUAUUGAAAGAUCUUGUGUCAAUAUAGUCAUUUGGGUUAUUAAGUUUUUAGGAAUAGUCUUUGAGCAAUAAAAAGAAAAACAGUCCUGAGACAAAGUCUAUACCCAUUUGGGAAGGCAAUAAGAAUAAUACAGUAACCUGUUAUGAAAUGGGACAGAGAAUGGGGGUUUGGGAAGUUCCCAUACGGAAAAGAAAAGAGAGAGUAAAAAAGAACAAAGCAUUAGUUUCAGAGUUUAAAAGAAGUCUUGAGCUCUGGUUAAUAUCUGAAAGAAAAAGUCAGGAGAGAAAAAACGGAAACAAGACUCUGAGUCAGACCUCAGAAUGGCAUUGGUGGAUAACAGCUGUCCUGGGUGGUGUGGGAAGACUCAGAACAGCCUUUGAGCUUCUUGUACUAUGAGGGUUUGUGCUUCAACAGAAAAAUGGGCUCUAGUUAUUCCUGAGAAGCUAGGCAUUUCCUUUGAGGAGAGUUACAGGAGACACAGAAGUGAGUGCAUAUGUGAAACAUUUUUGCCAGUGUGCUCUAUAGAGCUUAGAUUUCCCCAUCCUGCAGAGAGCCACAAAAGUCUGUAUAUUAGGCACCUUAGAUCAUUCCCCUUGAUUUCUACAAAUCAGGUCCAGCUAUUGCAUAGUAUUAAAGGUUAAUAUUUUCUUUGCCCAAACUUUUUUUUAUCACCCAUCCAGUUUGAGGCCAGUGAAUAUUGUAGUAAAAUAUUAGCCUCUUUUAAAAAAAAAAGGUUUUCAGGAUCCAACUUAUUCUAACUCUUGAGGCAAUUUCAUAGCAGCAAGACUAAGCACAAAUCAGUGAUGAUUCUAAGGGCAGAGAGACAAGCUCUAGAGCCUUGGCAGUGGACUAAGGCAGCCAUGUUUGAGUCAGGAUUCUCUAGGGAACACAACCAAUAGAAUGAACUUACCAUGUCAGAUUUAAAACAGUAAUAACAGCAGUCUUACAUGUACCAAAAUAAAGUGUACUAUUCUGCCUUUCUCUAAAGUGUUAUUUAUAACCCACCAAAACCCAACUAAUGCACCAGACAAGUAAUUGUCUACCAUCAGGAGUCACAACAUAUACCCGAAAAACAAGGCUGGAGGGUGUGGACUGUGCAAAGAUGAUGAGAGGAAAAAGCUGGUAAGGUGUGAUUUAACCCCCACAGCAGCACUCCAUUAGAAACAGAUGGACAUAUCUGACUGCAGAGAAAAACACAAGUCUGACCUUAGACAUGAGUUCUGUGGGUGAAAUUCUAUUCUUUCAUAAUGAAAAUGUAGUAAUAGGCAUAUCUGUUGAGUAAUUUCCCAGAAACACAAGGCCAAGUGAGAAACAGGAAAAGGGAGUAGGGCAGGAGCAAGCAAAUGUAGGGUCUGAGGUGUGGCUGUAGACAGUGAUAUGUGGUCCAUCAUCUCUAGAUACUAGGUUUUAGUGGGCACAGAUGCUGUAUGCUUUCAGCUGCCAAAGUGCAUCCUGGGAGACUGCUGCUGUCUUAGUUAGGGUUUCUGUUGCUGUGAUGAAACACCAUGAGUAGGUUGUCAAAAACAACUUGAGCAGGAAAGGGCUUAUUUGGUUUACAUUCCCGUGUUCGUCAGUGAAAAAAGUCAGGGCUAGAACUCAAACAGGGCAGGAACUACAGGCAGGAGCUGAUGCAGAAGCUAUGUAGGAAUAUUGCUUACUGACUUGCUCCUCGUGGCUUCCUCAGCCUGCUUUCUAUUAGACCUCAGAACCAGCAGCCCAGGGAUGGCACCACCACAAUGGACAUCUCCUACAUCAAUCACUAAUUAAGAAAAUGCCCUACAGGCUUGCCCAUGGCGCAAUCUAAUGGAAGCAUUUUCUUAAUUGAAACUCUCCUCUCAGAAGCAUCCAGCUCGUGUCCAGUUGACAGAAACCUAGCUAUCACAGUUGCAUUCUCAUGACUGAUUCACUGUGGAAACCCAGAGAAAAAGGCAUGGUGUAGACAUUGUCCUAAGUCCUAGGCAGACAGUGCACUAGGAAAAUGUUGGUUGAGCCUUCGUGAAGUAGCGCACAGAUAGUUACUGAGCACCUACUGUAUGCCAGAGACAAGUGUAAGCACCAGGGUUCCACAAGAAUGUAACAUAGAACCCAACUGCUGUUAGGUCACAGGACCUUCAGCAGCCUUCCCUGUCACAGGCAACCUUCAGAGACAUUGUCUGUGGAUUCCUGGUUAUCAGAUUGCUAGGAUAAACAGGGACUUUGACUGGCAAAGGUCUUGUUUCCACCCCUUCCCUGACUGGGAAUCAGAGAGGCUUGACAAAAGGCUGGGAAACCACCUCACCCGCUGAAAAGUAUUAAGAGAUUCUCACUUCUCCACACGGGCCAUGAUUUCUUCUCUGCAGAGCUGUAUCACGCUGUCUAACUCUGCUGCUGGGUCCUGAACUUUCCUUGGAGCUUCCACGAUGCUGUUGUUUAGUCUGUCUCUGUCCAUGGCAUUAACAACUCUUCUAAUAAACUCUUUACCCCAGCAAUCUGUCUGAGUGUCGCUCUUGAACUUACAUCUGAGAC
rnacentral:lncRNA from 1 species